rnacentral:rRNA from 1 species
UAGGGAAUCUUGCGCAAUGGGGGAAACCCUGACGCAGCGACGCCGCGUGCGGGAUGAAGGCCUUCGGGUCGUAAACCGCUUUCAGCAGGGACGAAAUUGACGGUACCUGCAGAAGAAGGCCCGGCCAACUACGUGCCAGCAGCCGCGGUGAUACGUAGGGGUCUAGCGUUGUCCGGAAUUAUUGGGCGUAAAGAGCUCGUAGGCGGUUCGGCAAGUCGGAUGUGAAAUCUCCACGCUUAACGUGGAGGGGCCAUUCGAAACUGCCGUGACUCGAGUCCGGUAGGGGAGUGCGGAAUUCCCGGUGUAGCGGUGAAAUGCGCAGAUAUCGGGAGGAACACCAGUGGCGAAGGCGGCACUCUGGGCCGGAACUGACGCUGAGGAGCGAAAGCGUGGGGAGCGAACAG